rnacentral:lncRNA from 1 species
UUUGCAAAAUGAAGACAGACAAGGUAAAUAGAACCAGUGAUCUAACAGCAACUCAUAGGCUUCUCAUACAGGCAUCAUUUAUCCCCAUUCAAGCUGCUGCCACCAGCUGCAUUCAGCCCCAUGCUUGCCUGGCUUUGUGCACGUAGUAGGCACAGCUGCUGACAGACACUGCAUAAGGGACUGGAGGAGUUGGGGGUGCUGGAGAAGAGAAGACUCCAGAAGUACCAGCCCCCAGCCCAGCAGUGGUUGACAGCACUCUUGGAGCAGCAAUAAUCCAUCCAACCCGCUGGCACACCUAAUGGUGGGGCUGCUCCCCAGACUCCUCACUGACAGCACCUGUGCCAUUUCCUUGCCCCAGGAAUGUAGAAUGCCCUGCCUGCUCAUGUUUCUGAGGGCUCUUGGGGAAUAUUUCGUUCAGGCCUCCCUUAGUUUUUAGCCUUGUACUGUCUUCAACAACUGAUCAGUGCUAAGACCAUGGAAACCUCCAAACAGAACAGUUAAGGCACAGCCCAAGGGUGCAAGAAGAUUUUUCUCCAUACCUUGGACUGCACAUGUGACAAAGUGCAUAAACAUGCUGAAACAAUACCUAGGCCAGAGAAAAAAAGAACAGACUAUAUCAGCUUAACAUGCAGAGUAGCUUGGAAAUUUGCUCCUGAUUUCAGGCAAAAAGGUAAGAAGAAUUCAGGACCUUCUCUCCCCACUUGGUUUUGGAGCAAACAAGGAGGGCAAUUAUAAAGAGGUAGAAGGGAGUUCUGGAAAUGAGUUUCUGUGUUGUUUGGCUGACUUUCAGAGGAUCUGAUCACUUUAAUACUGUAUGUAUUAAACUGUUCUGUUAAUGAUGUGUUAAGGCAGUCAUGGAUUUACUAGAGGUUCUAGGCAGAUCAAUGUUACAUCUUCCCCACUGGGCACACAGAAUCUUGGACAGACAUCAUUUAGCUAUCAUUUCAAUCAAGGAAAACAUAAUAAGUCCUUUCUAAAGCUGAAUGAAUUAUUGACAUCAACUGUCCUUUUGUUGCACAUAAUUUCUGCUAGAAGGAUGACUCCAGGAAUGUUUCAUUGCAAAUUUUCCAUAGCUUUUUCAUCUCUGUUUGCCUUGGUGCAUGGCCCUAUACUUAUUCUCGAUGGCCUGGAGAAACAGCCAAAGGUAUUUUGAAUCAUUUCACAUUCAGGAGUGGCCUUUGUGGAUGUGGUUCUAGCCCACUCAAAAAAUAAAGGCUGAAACCUACUUGUUAGCUACAAAUUUUGCUGUUCCAUUGAAAGUGAAUGGGUUUGAUCUUUUGAGCCUGCAAUAUCACCAUUAACAAUUUACUGAAGACAGCAAUCCUGUAUCACCCAUCAAACAAUUUAGGCAAAAAACCAAAAGUGCAAAUUAUCUGCAAAGGUGAAAGAACAGAUCACAGACUAUCAAUGGUCUCCUAUAGAUGUUGAUAGAGAGUCAUAUGGAUACACAGAAUGAAAAGGCAAAAUGGAUUCUGCUUUUUGGUCAAGUUCUUAAGAACUGUGAACAUGGUUGGUUUAAUUCUAUGCUCAAGCAUGAAAUCAGCCUAUGCUAGUUAUCAGAUUAGCAGAUUUUUUUUUACUAUUGAUCUUUAAAUAUUAAGAAACACAUUCCUAGUACCAGGAAAAACCUUUAUAGAGAGCAGGACACCAGCACCUAUGGAAAGGCAUGUUUCUCAUGUGCAUAGUUGCACACUGGCAUUUGGGAGAAUUGUGCCCUUAUCCCAGCUAUAUCACUGCCUUGCUGGGUAACCAUGAAGAAGUCAGUCCCUUGUCUUCUACCACUGCUUCCCCCUCAGAAAAUUAUGAAUAAUAAUUUCAGGCUUCUUUGGAAAGAAGAUUUCUUUGAAAUCUAUGGGUGGAGAGCAUUGUGUAAGAGCAGGGUAUUACAGGUAAUUUAUUUAUGUCUUGUUCAGCUGGUCUAAGCUCCCCUACAGCAGCGAUCACAAUAAACACUACACUCUUGGCAGUUAAAGCACUUUCUUGUGUUCACUGCCCAAACUCUUGUUCCAAUUCCCCAGUCUCCAGCAGCUGAAAGGUCUGAUCCAUUACAGGUUCUGGCCCAUUCUAGAGUGGGGCCUGUCUUCUUAAGUCCUGUGUACUCCAGUUCCCAACCUCCACUGGCUUGGGUGCUUCCUUUCUCAAUCCCACACUCCAUUAUGUGACACCAUGUCUCACAAGAUCCAUCCCUUGUUGUCUCACCUGCGCAGUGACUCCCACUGGACUACCUGCACUGCGCCAGCCAAGGUAAAAACCUCUUCCUCCCUCUUCCUCACUCUCUCUGUUGAGGCCUGGCACAGUUUAGUAAAAAAAAAGUGAACAUAAAUAGCAAAGCAUCAAUAUAUUUUCUUGUAUGGAAGCACAGUAUCUGAUAAGGAUGUGCAUGACUAUAAGCUGCUGAUAGCAAAUUGGAUGAAUGCUGGUUUGCACAGAUCUCCAAGCAAGCAACCACUCUGUCAAACUUGGUUCUCCACCC